AUUGGUAUGAGAAGCUUCCAGGAACUUCCUGUGCAGGGUGCAAGCCCUUAGCACCGGGAUCUUCUGGUAAAUUUUGGAGGGAGGGUCUUCGGACCCUCUUUUUUUUUUUUAUUUUUUU
rnacentral:misc_RNA from 1 species